rnacentral:rRNA from 1 species
AGGAUGAACGCUGGCGGCGUGCCUAACACAUGCAAGUCGAACGUCCUGUCUCGCAAGAGGCAGGGAGUGGCGGACGGGUGAGUACCACGUGGGUCAUCUACCGUGAGGUGAGGAAUACCGGCGAGAAAUCGCCGACAAGACCGCAUAGGCUCGAUGCAAGUCGAGCAAAGCUCUUUCGAGAGAGGGAGCGCCACACGAGGAGCCUGCGCCCGAUUAGCUAGCUGGUGGAGUAACGGUUCACCAGGGCGACGAUCGGUAGCUGGUCUGAGAGGACGAUCAGCCACACUGGGAUUGAGAACGGCCCAGACUCCUACGGGGGGCAGCAGUGAGGAAUUUUCGCAAUGGGGCAACCCUGAACGAGCAACGCCGCGUGCAGGAAGAAGGUUUUCGGAUCGUAAACUGCUUUUCUCGGGGAAGAGAACGGACGGUACCCGAGGAAUCGAGCCCCGGCUAACUACGUGCCAGCAGCCGC